GUGUCAGCCGCCGCGGUAAUACGUAGGGGGCAAACGUUACUCGGAUUUACUGGGCGUAAAGGGUGUGUAGGUGGCUGAGUAAGUCAAAGAUGAAAUCCCGUGGCCUAACUGCGGAACUGUCUUUGAGACUGCUCGGCUUGAGGAUAGUGGAGGAGAAUGGAAUUCCCGGUGGAGCGGUGAAAUGCGUAGAUAUCGGGAGGAACACCCGAGGCGUAAGCGAUUCUCUAAGCUAUUCCUGACACUGAAACACGAAAGCUAGGGGAGCGAACGGGAUUAGAUACCCCCGUAGUCC
rnacentral:rRNA from 1 species